rnacentral:rRNA from 1 species
GACGAACGCUGGCGGCGUGCUUAACACAUGCAAGUCGAACGGAAAGGCCCUGCUUUUGUGGGGUGCUCGAGUGGCGAAAGGGUGAGUAACACGUGAGUAACCUGCCCUUGACUUUGGGAUAACUUCAGGAAACUGGGGCUAAUACCGGAUAGGAGCUCCUGCUGCAUGGUGGGGGUUGGAAAGUUUCGGCGGUUGGGGAUGGACUCGCGGCUUAUCAGCUUGUUGGUGGGGUAGUGGCUUACCAAGGCUUUGACGGGUAGCCGGCCUGAGAGGGUGACCGGCCACAUUUGGACUGAGAUACGGCCCAGACUCCUACGGGAGGCAGCAGUGGGGAAUAUUGCACAAUGGGCGGAAGCCUGAUGCAGCAACGCCGCGUGCGGGAUGACGGCCUUCGGGUUGUAAACCGCUUUCGCCUGUGACGAAGCGUGAGUGACGGUAAUGGGUAAAGAAGCACCGGCUAACUACGUG